UCCUCCGUGGCGCAAUUGGCUAGCGCGUCUGACUGUUAUUCGCAUUGCGAAUGGAUAAUCAGGAGGUUCGUGGUUCGAGCCCACGCGGGGGAG
rnacentral:tRNA from 1 species